rnacentral:rRNA from 1 species
UACGGAGGGUGCAAGCGUUUAUCCGGAUUCACUGGGUUUAAAGGGUGCGUAGGUGGGCUGGUAAGUCAGUGGUGAAAUCUCCAGGCUUAACUUGGAAACUGCCAUUGAUACUAUCAGUCUUGAAUACCGUGGAGGUCAGCGGAAUAUGUCAUGUAGCGGUGAAAUGCUUAGAUAUGACAUAGAACACCAAUUGCGAAGGCAGCUGGCUACACGAAUAUUGACACUGAUGCACGAAAAGCGUGGGGAUCAAACAGG